AGGACGAACGCUGGCGGCGUGCUUAACACAUGCAAGUCGAGCGGAAAGGCCCUUCGGGGUACUCGAGCGGCGAACGGGUGAGUAACACGUGAGUAAUCUGCCCCUAGCUCUGGGAUAGCUCCGGGAAACCGGGAUUAAUACCAGAUACGACCACUUUAGACAUCUUCUGUGGUGGAAAGAACUUCGGCUAGGGAUGAACUCGCGGCCUAUCAGCUUGUUGGUGAGGUAACGGCUCACCAAGGCGACGACGGGUAGCCGGCCUGAGAGGGCGACCGGCCACACUGGGACUGAGACACGGCCCAGACUCCUACGGGAGGCAGCAGUGGGGAAUAUUGCGCAAUGGGCGAAAGCCUGACGCAGCGACGCCGCGUGGGGGAUGAAGGCCUUCGGUUGUAACCCUUUCAGCAGGGACGAAGCGAAAGUGACGGUACCUGCAGAAGAAGCGCCGGCUAACUACGUGCCAGCAGCCGC
rnacentral:rRNA from 1 species